rnacentral:pre_miRNA from 15 species
CUGUUCACGCGAGCCUUCGGUACUUAAAGAGUGGUUAUCCCUGCUGUGUUCGCUUUAUUUGUGACGAAUCAUACAGGGACAUCCAGUUUUUCAGUAUCAAAUACUGCUUUGGAGGGGG